rnacentral:lncRNA from 1 species
AGGAUCCAUGUGCAAGAUUCUGCCACGUGCAAAGAUCCACGUGCAAGGAUGAUCCAUGUGCAAGGAUCCACGUGCAAGGACCCUCCUCGUGCAAGGAUCCACGUGCAAGGACGAUCCUCGUGCAAGGAUCCUCGUGCAAAGCGCGUGUGCAAGGAUCCUCGUGCAAGAUUCUUCCAUGUGCAAGGCCGAUCCUCGUGCAAGGACCCUCCUCGUGCAAAGCCCCGUGCAAGGCCCCUCCCCCUCCCCCUCCCCUCCCCCCGCGGCCCCUCCCCCCUUUUGCACUUUCGCGGCCGCGUUCGCUACUGACUGACCCCCCCGCCCCUCCCCCACCCGGUGUCCCCUCCCCCCACCAAUGUCCCCUCCCCCCCCUCCCGGUGUCCCCUCCCCCCCCCGGUGUCCCCUCCCCCCCCCCCGGUGUCCCCUCCCCCCUCCCGAGCGCACUUUAGGGGGAAAAGCGACCGGAAAAGGCAAAAAAAAGGAGCGGGAAAAGGGAAAAGUGACAAAAACCCCACGGGGGGGGAGGGGGGGAGGGGACACGGGGGGGGGAGGGGACAGAGAUGGGGACAUCGACGGGCGGGGGUGGCACCAAAAAUGGGGUGGCACCACCCGGGGGACACCGAGGGGUGACGUCAGUGGGGGGUGUCCCCAAGGGGUGGCCCUGGGGGUGUCCCCAAGGGGAUGUCCCCAAGGGGAUGUCCCCAAGGGGUGGCCCUGUCCCCACCAGGAUGUCCCCAGUGGGGUGGCCCUGAGGGUGUCCCCAAGGGGAUGUCCCCAAGGGGAUGGCCCUGUCCCCACCAGGAUGUCCCCACGGGGGUGACCCCAAUGCGGGAUAUCCCCAAGGGGUGGCCCUGAGGGUGUCCUCAAGGGGAUGUCUCUGGGAAUGUCCCCAAGGAGAUGGCCCUGUCCCCACCGAGGUGACCCCACGGAUGUCCCCACGCCCCCCCCGGGAUGUCCCCACGGCGUCCGUCCCCUCCGGGGUGUCCCCUCGGGGGUGUCCCCGCGGGGGGGUGGCAGCGGUGACAAAUGUCCACUAUUUAUCUGCAUCAGUGAGUGUUAGAGACGCCAAUAAACACCGUAGAGCUGAGCUGGCCCUGGGGACACUGGGGACACUGGGGACACUGGGGGGGGAUUGGGGACACUGGGGACACUGGGGACACGGGGGGGAUUGGGGACACUGGGGACAUUGGGGACACUGGGGACAUUUGGGGGAUUGGGGAUAGCAGUGG